rnacentral:rRNA from 1 species
UCAGGCCUAACACAUGCAAGUCGAGGGGUAGAAGGAGCUUGCUCCUUUGAGACCGGCGCACGGGUGCGUAACGCGUAUGCAAUCUACCUUUUACAGAGGGAUAGCCCAGAGAAAUUUGGAUUAAUACCUCAUAGUAUAUAAUCUUCGCAUGUUGGUUAUAUUAAAGUUCCAACGGUAAAAGAUGAGCAUGCGUCCUAUUAGCUAGUUGGUGUGGUAACGGCACACCAAGGCAACGAUAGGUAGGGGUCCUGAGAGGGAGAUCCCCCACACUGGUACUGAGACACGGACCAGACUCCUACGGGAGGCAGCAGUGAGGAAUAUUGGACAAUGGGCGCAAGCCUGAUCCAGCCAUGCCGCGUGCAGGAAGACGGUCCUAUGGAUUGUAAAGCUGCUUUGUACGGGAAGAAACACUCCUAC